rnacentral:rRNA from 1 species
UACGGAGGGUGCAAGCGUUAUCCGGAUUCACUGGGUUUAAAGGGUGCGUAGGUGGGCAGGUAAGUCAGUGGUGAAAUCUCCGGGCUUAACCCGGAAACUGCCAUUGAUACUAUCUGUCUUGAAUACCGUGGAGGUGAGCGGAAUAUGUCAUGUAGCGGUGAAAUGCUUAGAUAUGACAUAGAACACCAAUUGCGUAGGCAGCUUACUACACGAUCAUUGACGCUGAGGCACGAAAGCGUGGGGAGCAAACAGG